rnacentral:lncRNA from 1 species
CAGACUGGGCUCAAGGGGUGGUUAGAUGGAGGGAAGAAAAGGCAUGCACAGGCACUGGUCUGGUGCACUUCGGUGACCCAGAACACAGGUACGGAUGGCCAAGCAAUCAGCUCAGCUCACUGAUGCUAAUUUUGGUAGCUUCACUGCUCCUGCUCCAUUAUAGCCUAUGUGCUGACCAAUAUUUUUGCAGCGUAGGAGUAUGUGAUAUUAAACAAAUCAUGUGCAUACAUUUCGUGAUAAAUACGUGCCUAAACGGGGACGUUCUGCCAUUCGCGCUAAUACGAUUUUUCUAAACAUAAUAUGAACCGGAGGCACCGAGGGAUGAUAUACUGAUUAUAUAUUCCUGGCUAUUUUGCAGAUUGCUGCUUCUGGCGGGUUGUGGUUAGUAAAAAAAGCGUGACAAGGAUCUGGUUGGUAGGUUGAUCACAAGUUGUUGCCCGUUGUCACUGCCCAACGAAGCGUCACGGCGCUGCGCUCUCGAGUGAACUAUAGCUUGUUGGCCUUCCCGGCUUCCCCUGCUGUUGGUUAAUCUUGUUGGCCUUCCCCUGCUGUUGCUGGUUAAUCUUUUAUUAAAUUAUUAUAUCUAUGAGGCGAAAGCUGUUAGCUAAUCUAAUGAUGGCCCAUGCAGGGAUGCAGAUGCAUUCAGACCGAGAUAAUUUUGUCUAUAACAAUUUAAAAAAAGUUUGCAAGAUCAAACAAGGUAUCGACCCUGGCUGUUUCCUCAGGUGGUGCUGGCAUGGUGCGUGACUUUGCAAUAGUGGGACUAUGAGAUGUCACAUCAGUGCGGGAUUCAAGCUGCUAACUCCUCCGUAGGUAAGUCAUUCUUAAGGAGUUGGUACACGGAAUUUGCG